rnacentral:rRNA from 1 species
UACGUAGGGUCCGAGCGUUGUCCGGAAUUAUUGGGCGUAAAGAGCUCGUAGGCGGUCUGUUGCGUCGGUUGUGAAAACCUGGGGCUCAACUCCAGGCCUGCAAUCGAUACGGGCAGACUAGAGUUCGGUAGGGGAGACUGGAAUUCCUGGUGUAGCGGUGAAAUGCGCAGAUAUCAGGAGGAACACCGAUGGCGAAGGCAGGUCUCUGGGCAUUAACUGACGCUGAGGAGCGAAAGCAUGGGGAGCGAACAGG